rnacentral:rRNA from 1 species
UGGGGAAUUUUGGACAAUGGGCGCAAGCCUGAUCCAGCCAUGCCGCGUGCGGGAAGAAGGCCUUCGGGUUGUAAACCGCUUUUGUCAGGGAAGAAAUCUUCUGAGUUAAUACCUCGGGAGGAUGACGGUACCUGAAGAAUAAGCACCGGCUAACUACGUGCCAGCAGCCGCGGUAAUACGUAGGGUGCAAGCGUUAAUCGGAAUUACUGGGCGUAAAGCGUGCGCAGGCGGUUUUGUAAGACAGAGGUGAAAUCCCCGGGCUCAACCUGGGAACUGCCUUUGUGACUGCAAGGCUUGAGUGCGGCAGAGGGGGAUGGAAUUCCGCGUGUAGCAGUGAAAUGCGUAGAUAUGCGGAGGAACACCGAUGGCGAAGGCAAUCCCCUGGGCCUGCACUGACGCUCAUGCACGAAAGCGUGGGGAGCAAAACAGGAUUAGAUACUCUGGUAGUCCACGCCCUAAACGAUGUCAACUGGUUGUUGGGAAGGUUCCUUCUCAGUAACGUAGCUAACGCGUGAAGUUGACCGCCUGGGGAGUACGGCCGCAAGGUUGAAACUC